UACGUAGGGUGCGAGCGUUGUCCGGAAUUACUGGGCGUAAAGAGCUCGUAGGCGGUCUGUUGCGUCCGCUGUGAAAACUCGGGCUUAACUCCGAGCCUGCAGUGGAUACGGGCAGACUAGAGGUAGGUAGGGGAGAAUGGAAUUCCCGGUGUAGCGGUGAAAUGCGCAGAUAUCGGGAGGAACACCGGUGGCGAAGGCGGUUCUCUGGGCCUUACCUGACGCUGAGGCGC
rnacentral:rRNA from 1 species